ACAGUGGACGCGAGCAUCUGUGGCCAAGUUUUUAAGGGCGCACGGUGGAUGCCUUGGCACCAGGAACCGAUGAAGGACGUGGGAGGCCACGAUAGUCCCCGGGGAGCUGUCAACCAAGCUUUGAUCCGGGGGUUUCCGAAUGGGGAAACCCGGCAGUCGUCAUGGGCUGUCACCCGCUGCUGAACACAUAGGCAGUGUGGAGGGAACGAGGGGAAGUGAAACAUCUCAGUACCCUCAGGAAGAGAAAACAACCGUGAUUCCGGGAGUAGUGGCGAGCGAAACUGGAUGAGGCCAAACCGUAUGCGUGUGAUACCCGGCAGGGGUUGCGCAUGCGGGGUUGUGGGAUCUCUCUUUCACAGUCUGCCGGCUGUGAGACGAGUCAGAAACCGUUGAUGUAGGCGAAGGACAUGCGAAAGGUCCGGCGUAGAGGGUAAGACCCCCGUAGCUGAAACAUCAGCGGCUUGUUUGAGAGACACCCAAGUAGCACGGGGCCCGAGAAAUCCCGUGUGAAUCUGGCGGGACCACCCGCUAAGCCUAAAUAUUCCCUGGUGACCGAUAGCGGAUAGUACCGUGAGGGAAUGGUGAAAAGUACCGCGGGAGCGGAGUGAAAUAGUACCUGAAACCGUGUGCCUACAAGCCGUGGGAGCGUCGCGCAUCGAGCUUGCUCGGUGCGUCGUGACUGCGUGCCUUUUGAAGAAUGAGCCUGCGAGUUAGCGGUGUGUAGCGAGGUUAACCCGUGUGGGGAAGCCGUAGCGAAAGCGAGUCCGAACAGGGCGUUUGAGUUGCACGCUCUAGACCCGAAGCGGAGUGAUCUAGCCAUGGGCAGGUUGAAGCGGAGGUAAGACUUCGUGGAGGACCGAACCCACCAGGGUUGAAAACCUGGGGGAUGACCUGUGGUUAGGGGUGAAAGGCCAAUCAAACUCCGUGAUAGCUGGUUCUCCCCGAAAUGCAUUUAGGUGCAGCGUCGUGUGUUUCUUGCCGGAGGUAGAGCACUGGAUAGGCGAUGGGCCCUACCGGGUUACUGACCUUAGCCAAACUCCGAAUGCCGGUAAGUGAGAGCGCGGCAGUGAGACUGUGGGGGAUAAGCUCCAUGGUCGAGAGGGAAACAGCCCAGAGCAUCGACUAAGGCCCCUAAGCGUACGCUAAGUGGGAAAGGAUGUGGAGUCGCAGAGACAACCAGGAGGUUGGCUUAGAAGCAGCCACCCUUGAAAGAGUGCGUAAUAGCUCACUGGUCAAGUGAUUCCGCGCCGACAAUGUAGCGGGGCUCAAGCGUACCGCCGAAGUCGUGUCAUUCACACAUAUAGGGCCAACGCCUGUGUGGAUGGGUAGGGGAGCGUCGUGUGCCGGGUGAAGCAGCCGCGGAAGCGAGUUGUGGACGGUUCACGAGUGAGAAUGCAGGCAUGAGUAGCGAUACACACGUGAGAAACGUGUGCGCCGAUUGACUAAGGGUUCCUGGGUCAAGCUGAUCUGCCCAGGGUAAGUCGGGACCUAAGGCGAGGCCGACAGGCGUAGUCGAUGGACAACCGGUUGAUAUUCCGGUACCCGCUUUGAAACGCCCAGUACUGAAUCAGGCGAUGCUAAGUCCGUGAAGCCGGCCCGAUCUCUUCGGAGUUGAGGGUAGUGGUGGAGCCGAUGAACCAGACUUGUAGUAGGUAAGCGAUGGGGUGACGCAGGAAGGUAGUCCAGCCCGGGCGGUGGUUGUCCCGGGGUAAGGGUGUAGGACGCACGGUAGGCAAAUCCGUCGUGCAUAUAGUCUGAGACCUGAUGCCGAGCCGAUUGUGGUGAAGUGGAUGAUCCUAUGCUGUCGAGAAAAGCCUCUAGCGAGUUUCAUGGCGGCCCGUACCCUAAACCGACUCAGGUGGUCAGGUAGAGAAUACCGAGGCGUUCGGGUGAACUAUGGUUAAGGAACUCGGCAAAAUGCCCCCGUAACUUCGGGAGAAGGGGGGCCAUCAC
rnacentral:rRNA from 1 species